rnacentral:rRNA from 1 species
GGACGGGUGCGUAACGCGUAUGCAACCUACCCAUAACAGGGGGAUAACACUGAGAAAUUGGUACUAAUACCCCAUAACAUCUCGAGUGGCAUCACUUGGGGUUGAAAGCUUCGGUGGUUAUGGAUGGGCAUGCGUUGUAUUAGCUAGUUGGUGAGGUAACGGCUCGCCAAGGCGACGAUACAUAGGGGGACUGAGAGGUUAACCCCCCACAUUGGUACUGAGACACGGACCAAACUCCUACGGGAGGCAGCAGUGAGGAAUAUUGGUCAAUGGACGGAAGUCUGAACCAGCCAUGCCGCGUGCAGGAUGACGGCUCUAUGAGUUGUAAACUGCUUUUGUACGAGGGUAAACCCGAAUACGUGUAUUCGGCUGAAAGUAUCGUACGAAUAAGGAUCGGCUAACUCCAUGCCAGCAGCCGCGGUAAUACGGAGGAUCCAAGCGUUAUCCGGAUUUAUUGGGUUUAAAGGGUGCGUAGGCGGUCAGAUAAGUUAGAGGUGAAAUUCCGGUGCUUAACACCGGCGCUGCCUCUAAUACUGUUUGACUAGAGAGUAGUUGCGGUAGGCGGAAUGUAUGGUGUAGCGGUGAAAUGCUUAGAGAUCAUACAGAACACCGAUUGCGAAGGCAGCUUACCAAGCUAUAUCUGACGUUGAGGCACGAAAGCGUGGGGAGCAAACAGGAUUAGAUACCCUGGUAGUCCACGCA